AAAUUGAAGAGUUUGAUCAUGGCUCAGAUUGAACGCUGGCGGCAGGCCUAACACAUGCAAGUCGAACGGUAGCACAGAGAGCUUGCUCUCGGGUGACGAGUGGCGGACGGGUGAGUAAUGUCUGGGAAACUGCCUGAUGGAGGGGGAUAACUACUGGAAACGGUGGCUAAUACCGCAUAACGUCGCAAGACCAAAGAGGGGGACCUUCGGGCCUCUUGCCAUCAGAUGUGCCCAGAUGGGAUUAGCUUGUUGGUGAGGUAACGGCUCACCAAGGCGACGAUCCCUAGCUGGUCUGAGAGGAUGACCAGCCACACUGGAACUGAGACACGGUCCAGACUCCUACGGGAGGCAGCAGUGGGGAAUAUUGCACAAUGGGCGCAAGCCUGAUGCAGCCAUGCCGCGUGUAUGAAGAAGGCCUUAGGGUUGUAAAGUACUUUCAGCGGGGAGGAAGGUGUUG
rnacentral:rRNA from 1 species